CCUACGGGUGGCAGCAGUGGGGAAUAUUGCACAAUGGGGGAAACCCUGAUGCAGCGACGCCGCGUGAGUGAAGACGUAAUUCGUUAUGUAAAGCUCUAUCAGCAGGGAAGCAAAUGACGGUACCUGAGUAAGAAGCCCCGGCUAACUACGUGCCAGCAGCCGCGGUAAUACGCAGGGGGCAAGCGGUAUCCGGAUUUACUGGGUGUAAAGGGAGCGUAGGCGGCAGUGCAAGUCUGGAGGGAAAGGCGGGGGCUCAACCCCCGGACUGCUGUGGAAACUGUACGGCUGGAGUGCAGGAGAGGUAAGUGGAAUGCGUAGUGUAGCGGUGAAAUGCGUAGAUAUUAGGAGGAACCCCAGUGGCGAAGGCGGCUUACUGGACUGUAACUGACGUUGAGGCUCGAAAGCGUGGGGAGCGAACAGGAUUAGAUACCCGGGUAGUC
rnacentral:rRNA from 1 species